rnacentral:rRNA from 1 species
CCCCUAGAUGUUCUGGGCUGCACGCGCGCUACACUGAUGCGCUCAACGAGUUUAUGACCUUGCCUGGAAAGGUUGGGUAAUCUUCUUAAAACGCAUCGUGAUGGGGAUAGAUUAUUGCAAUUAUUAAUCUUCAACGAGGAAUUCCUAGUAAGCGCGAGUCAUCAGCUCGUGCUGAUUACGUCCCUGCCCUUUGUACACACCGCCCGUCGCUCCUACCGAUUGAAUGGUCCGGUGAAGCGUUCGGACCGUGGCCUUUGGACGGUUCGCCGUCUGUUGGCUGCGGGAAGUUCGUUAAACCUUAUCAUUUAGAGGAAGGAGAAGUCGUAACA